CCUACGGGUGGCAGCAGUGAGGAAUAUUGGUCAAUGGGCGCGAGCCUGAACCAGCCAAGUCGCGUGAGGGAUGACGGCCCUACGGGUUGUAAACCUCUUUUGCCGGGGAACAACGGGCGUCACGUGUAGCGCCACUGAGAGUACCCGUAGAAAAAGCAUCGGCUAACUCCGUGCCAGCAGCCGCGGUAAUACGGAGGAUGCGAGCGGUAUCCGGAUUUAUUGGUUUUAAAGGGUGAGUAGGCGGAUCGUUAAGUCAGUGGUAAAAUUGAGGGGCUCAACCCCGUAGUGCCGUUGAAACUGCAUGCCUUGAGUGCGCGAGAAGUAUGCGGAAUGCGUGGUGUAGCGGUGAAAUGCAUAGAUAUCACGCAGAACUCCGAUUGCGAAGGCAGCAUACCGGCGCGCAACUGACGCUCAUGCACGAAAGCGUGGGUAUCGAACAGGAUUAGAUACCCUUGUAGUC
rnacentral:rRNA from 1 species